GACGAACGCUGGCGGCGUGCUUAACACAUGCAAGUCGAACGGAAAGGCCCUGCUUUUGUGGGGUGCUCGAGUGGCGAACGGGUGAGUAACACGUGAGUAACCUGCCCUUGACUUUGGGAUAACUUCAGGAAAUUGGGGCUAAUACCGGAUAGGAGCUCCUGCUGCAUGGUGGGGGUUGGAAAGUUUCGGCGGUUGGGGAUGGACUCGCGGCUUAUCAGCUUGUUGGUGGGGUAGUGGCUUACCAAGGCUUUGACGGGUAGCCGGCCUGAGAGGGUGACCGGCCACAUUGGGACUGAGAUACGGCCCAGACUCCUACGGGAGGCAGCAGUGGGGAAUAUUGCACAAUGGGCGGAAGCCUGAUGCAGCAACGCCGCGUGCGGGAUGACGGCCUUCGGGUUGUAAACCGCUUUCGCCUGUGACGAAGCGUGAGUGACGGUAAUGGGUAAAGAAGCACCGGCUAACUACGU
rnacentral:rRNA from 1 species